CCAAAUAAUUUUUUGAACAAAAUACUUGGGGAUGAAUUCCAGCGUUUGUUCGCUAGGGUUUAAAACAGGUUUUAUUGCAUAGAACACACACAAGAAAGCCAAGCAUUAGGUUUUCUUUAGGGGAAAGGAAAUCAAAGUGUUUGAGAAGUGAUUUCAGAUGCCCAAAAAUGUCUGAGUAUUUGCCACAAGAAGUAUUGAUUGAAAUCUUUGUAAGAUUACCCUUAAAGUCCAUCAUUGAGUGCACCAGCAGAUGCAAAUCAUGGACAAGACGUUCAGGGCGAUGAUGGUACCCCGAGUAGUUUAGUUGUGGUUUUUUGGUUUUGUGCGGAUUGGUUCAAACUUUUUGUGUUAGAGGAGUCACUUUGUUUGGCUAAUCGUUUGUUUGAUGUUUGGAGGAUGAAAGAGUAUGGUCAUCCAGAAUCAUGGAUGAAAUAAUUCAGCAUCAAUAGCCACAUUACAUUCAAUGUUGGUGUUGUUGAUGAAUUUUUCUCGAUGUUUCAUGGUGGUCGUCAGCAUCAGGUUGCUCAUUUCUUGGUGGAGCCAGUAGCUUCAAGGAAAAAUGGUCAAAUUUUGUAGAGAGCGGACAAUGGAUUCUUGGUUUCAUAUGAUAACGCAGUUGAAAAAAAUUGAGAAUCUUGGCAUUUGCAAUGCUAACUUCUUACCGUAUCACGAUGCACUUUAUGUUAAUACUUACAAAGUGAGCCUUGUUUUACUUGAUAAACGGAGAAACUAUUUUUAUGGA